GACGAACGCUGGCGGCGUGCCUAAUACAUGCAAGUAGAACGCACAGUUUAUACCUUCGCUUGCUACACCAUAGACUGUGAGUUGCGAACGGGUGAGUGACGCGUAGGUAACCUGCCUGGUAGCGGGGGAUAACUAUUGGAAACGAUAGCUAAUACCGCAUAAUAUUAAUUAUUGCAUGAUAAUUAAUUGAAAGGUGCAAUUGCACCACUACCAGAUGGCCCUGCGUUGUAUUAGCUAGUAGGUGAGGUAACGGCUCACCUAGGCGACGAUACAUAGCCGACCUGAGAGGGUGAUCGGCCACACUGGGACUGAGACACGGCCCAGACUCCUACGGGAGGCAGCAGUAGGGAAUCUUCGGCAAUGGACGAAAGUCUGACCGAGCAACGCCGCGUGAGUGAAGAAGGUUUUCGGAUCGUAAAGCCCUGUUGUAAGAGAAGAACGGGUGUGAGAGUGGAAAGUUCACACUGUGACGGUAUCUUACCAGAAAGGGACGGCUAACUACGUG
rnacentral:rRNA from 1 species